ACACAGGGCAGUCAUUCGGAUGUUGUGCGCGAGCCUGGGUCAGGCGAGAACACCCAUUGAGUUUAUGCAUAUCACUAAGCAGAGGAAAAGAAACUUACAACGAUUCCCCUAGUAAUGGCGAGCGAACCAAGAAGAGCCCAACAUGAAAAUCGAGUGACCGCGUUGCCCAAAUUGUAUCAGGAAAAACGUCA
rnacentral:rRNA from 1 species